rnacentral:rRNA from 1 species
AUGCCAUGCCCUGUGACAUCAGAUAGGAUACACCGUCCGAGCCUCUUGAGUACAUAUAUGCCUGCGACUCUCUUUCGCUUCUUCCAGGGCUCAAGUAAUAAGUGGCCAUCUCCCGGUCCUGAAUACUUACCUCAGGUCAAGUUGCUUUUCGCAUGGGAUCCAGGAGAACAUGACCAGUUAGUGCAAUUUACUGCCAUGAUACUUGUUGGAACUGUGGGACAGAUUAUUUCUGAACUUAUGAGCAGCAGUGUUCAUACUAUGAAUAGCUCUAGCCAUGUCUCAUGUCCAGUUAACAAAUAA